rnacentral:rRNA from 1 species
GACGAACGCUGGCGGCGUGCUUAACACAUGCAAGUCGAACGAUGAAGCUGGAGCUUGCUCCGGUGGAUUAGUGGCGAACGGGUGAGUAACACGUGAGCAAUCUGCCCUUGACUCUGGGAUAACUGCGGGAAACUGUAGCUAAUACCGGAUAUGAGGCCCGAAGGCAUCUUCGGGUCUGGAAAGAAUUUCGGUCAAGGAUGAGCUCGCGGCCUAUCAGCUUGUUGGUGAGGUAAUGGCUCACCAAGGCGACGACGGGUAGCCGGCCUGAGAGGGUGACCGGCCACACUGGGACUGAGACACGGCCCAGACUCCUACUGGAGGCAGCAGUGGGGAAUAUUGCACAAUGGGCGAAAGCCUGAUGCAGCAACGCCGCGUGAGGGAUGACGGCCUUCGGGUUGUAAACCUCUUUCAGCACCGACGAAGCGCAAGUGACGGUAGGUGCAGAGGAAGGACCGGCCAACUACGUGCCAGCCGCCGCGGUAA